UGUCUUGUCAUUGGAUCCGAUGCUGAUAAGUUCAUGAAAAAAAACAAGACAAAAAGGAAAAACUAAUGACGCGGAAUGAUGGAUAUUUCAUCGUUCGAACCUUUUUUUUCUUCUUCUUCUUCUUCUUCUUCUUCUAUUCAACGAUCCUUGCUGACUUACUAAUGAACGUCGUGAACGGUGUCGAAUGAGAGUUGAAUGUACUCGAGUUGCACACGUCGUCCGGCUGCUGGCUCCAUUUUGAUAGUUGCAUCUCUAUCACGUGUUCGUCCCUUUUAUGAAACAUGAUGCAAACGUAACCAUUUUUGCUGAAACAUAAACGAAAAUAGGCGAACGUUAUAAAAACCGACUUUCGUUCAUUGAAUUUGCUUUUCUAUUUUGACGAUAUUCUGUAGGAAUAAUCUCGAACGAUCUAUCUUCGAGCAGUUACAUUUAAUUUAAAAGAUAAAACAGAGGAGAAAAGAAGAAGAAGAGGAGAAGAGGAGAAGAAACGAAGAAGAAGAAGAAGAAGAGAAAGGGAGAAGGACAGAGAGAGAGAGAGAGAGAGAGAGAGAGAGAAAGAUGAAGAAAAAGAAAAAAGAAAAAACGAUAGAAAGAGAGAAAAAAAGUGGGGGAAAGAUGGAAAGGAAUUAAACCGGAAGGGUAUGGCCUUUGGGAUGGAAGGGCGGAAGGAUGUUAAAUCUCCGCUUCUCCUCCGGGCUAGAAGGGAAUUAAAGAUUUCGUUUCGUUUAAAAUUCUUCUCCUCUUCUUUCGUAUAAACUCUCGUCGUGAUGCCACUCGUCGUCGUAUACCAACGACGACGACGACUUCGCCGAUAGCCGAGAAACUUUUAAACGAUCUUGUUAAAUAAUUUUGAAAUUCUAUUUAAAAUACUUCUAUUCGCGCUUGCGAGUAUUAAAAUAUUAUUAGUUAGAUUACUUGAAUUUUUUAUUAACAUCCAUCUCUUUGUAUAUAGAUAACCAACCAUACAACGAAAAGAGGAUUAGAGAAAGAGAGAGAGAGAGAGAGAGAGAAAGAGAGAGAUAAAUAUCUAAUGUUUCACGAGAUAAGCAGAAUAAUCGACUACGUGAGCCAUUACAAGGAUGAUUCGAAAAAAGAGAAAAAAGAAAGGAAACGGAAAAAAACGAUAGGAUUGGUGGUAAGCUUUCUUUCUUCUGGAAACGAGGCAAGUGCGAAAAAUAAAAGGAAGAAAAACGAGAGAAAGAGAGAGAGAGAGAGAGAGAGAGAGAGAGAGAGAGAGAGAGAGAGAGAGGGGAGGAAAACGAGACAGAAAAAGGAGCAAAAAAAAAGGAAGAAAAAGAAAACAAAAAACACGAAGUACGAGGAUCUUAAA